UUUAAUUUUUUAUUGGAACUGAUGCAAUUAGUUAAAAAUAAGUUUUAGUAGCUUUGGAAUAGAAAUAUAUUUGACGGAUAAUUCAAAAUUCAAAAAUAGGUACAUAUGUUGAGGAAGUAUUAGGAUUUCUCUUACUUUCAUACAGUUCCACAAGGCAACCAAAAACUAUUUAUAGUUUUAGUUUAUAUUCUUAUAAACAUUUAGUUACAUGAAAAUCCAAUGGUGUUCUAAAUAAAACACUAAAAGCUAAAAUUCUACAUAGGAGCGUUUAAAAUUUUCUUGUUUCGACACCCAAGGUGUCAUAGUAAAAGACUGACUAGUUUUCGUGUGGAAUUUGGAGCUUUACUGUUCUAUUUAACAUUUUGUUAAUGACAAAUGAAUAGUUUAUCUAUCAGACUGUAGUUUUCUCCUUUUUAAUUAAUUUUACUGUGUAAUCGAUGCAAUCAUUUAAUAAUAAAGAGUUUUAUUAUC